AAGCUUCCGAUGUGUGGCAUGCUGGAUGCGGUUGAGUAGGGUCCUGAAUUUUCUUAUCCACGAAUCCCACCUACCUCUUAAGAAGGACCCAAGGUACAAGAACCUGCAGUCCAGGCACCAAGUCAGCUUUAACAUGUGAAAAUUCUAUGGAAAUUCCAGAAAUAGCAUGCAGGAAUCAAAAAAUACAUAACUCCUGUUUAUUGACUUUUUUAAGUUAUAGGCACUUGCAAAACAGCAG